rnacentral:lncRNA from 1 species
GGAGGUGGCCGGCGGCAACGGCCGACUCUCCCGGGUUCGGAGAGACCAGGGUCGGCGGUCGGCGUGACCGUCGGCGCCGGAAAAUCAGAGGAAAGAGGCGGCGAACAGGGGGGUUUCCUUCUCCAACUAAAUCCGACGACACCCGUCGCCGACCAUCGUGCACACAGGCACAGGAAAGAAGGGAGAGAAGAGAGGGAGGGGAGGGAGACCUUACCACAACCUCCGGUGACCCCCACCGGCGAGAAAUCGCGGCGAACACGGGUCGAGGAGUCGCGGCUUCAAACGGGAAAAUCGGAGAAAAAUCUCCGGCAAUCGGCGGCGACUGAAGUGUCUACCCAUAGAGGAGAGGGGAAGGGUUCUUAUAGAGCUCGUCCUAGGGUCUUUCAAUGGCCCUAGGACUCCGAUUCUUGAUCGGAGAAGAGGAAGACUCCGAUCG